rnacentral:rRNA from 1 species
GAUACCCGUGUAGUCCCAGCCGUAAACUAUGCGCGUUAGGUGUAUCGGUGACCACGAGUUACCGAGGUGCCGAAGGGAAACCGUGAAACGUGCCGCCUGGGAAGUACGGUCGCAAGGCUGAAACUUAAAGGAAUUGGCGGGGAGCACCACAACGGGUGGAGCCUGCGGUUUAAUUGGACUCAACGCCGGGAAGCUCACCGGAUAAGACAGCGGAAUGAUUGCCGGGCUGAAGACUCUGCAUGACUAGCUG